CAAUAGCGUAUAUUAAAGUUGUUGCGGUUAAAAAGCUCGUAGUUGGAUUUCUGCUGAGAACGACCGGUCCGCCCUCUGGGUGUGUAUCUGGCUCUUUCUUGGCAUCUUCUUGGUGAACGUUGCUGCACUUGACUGUGUGGAGCGCUACCCAGGACUUUUACUUUGAGGAAAUUAGAGUGUUUCAAGCAGGCAUACGCCUUGAAUACAUUAGCAUGGAAUAAUAAGAUAGGACCUCGGUUCUAUUUUGUUGGUUUCUAGAGCUGAGGUAAUGAUUAAUAGGGAUAGUUGGGGGCAUUCGUAUUUAACUGUCAGAUGUGAAAUUCUUGGAUUUGUUAAAGACGGACUACUGCGAAAGCAUUUGCCAAGGAUGUUUUCAUUGA
rnacentral:rRNA from 1 species